rnacentral:rRNA from 1 species
CGGCGAGUGAAGCGGCAACAGCUCAAAUUUGAAAUCUGGCCUUCGGGUCCGAGUUGUAAUUUGUAGAGGAUGCUUUUGGUGCGGUGCCUUCCGAGUUCCCUGGAACGGGACGCCAUAGAGGGUGAGAGCCCCGUCUGGUUGGAUACCAAUCCUCUGUAAAGCUCCUUCGACGAGUCGAGUAGUUUGGGAAUGCUGCUCUAAAUGGGAGGUAUAUGUCUUCUAAAGCUAAAUACCGGCCAGAGACCGAUAGCGCACAAGUAGAGUGAUCGAAAGAUGAAAAGCACUUUGAAAAGAGGGUUAAACAGUACGUGAAAUUGUUGAAAGGGAAGCGCUUGUGACCAGACUUGGGCAUGGUUAAUCAUCCAGCGUUCUCGCUGGUGCACUUGGCCUGCCCAGGCCAGCAUCAGUUCGGUGCGGGGGAUAAAGGCUUCGGGAAUGUGGCUCCUCCGGGAGUGUUAUAGCCCGUUGUGCAAUACCCUGCGCUGGACUGAGGUUCGCGCAUCUGCAUGGAUGCUGGCGUAAUGGUCAUCAGCGACCCGUCUUGAAACACGGACCAAGGAGUCGUCCUCGUAUGCGAGUGUUCGGGUGUUAAACCCCUACGCGUAAUGAAAGUGAACGCAGGUGAGAGCUUCGGCGCAUCAUCGACCGAUCCUGAUGUUCUCGGAUGGAUUUGAGUAAGAGCAUACGGGGCCGGACCCGAAAGAAGGUGAACUAUGCCUGUAUAGGGUGAAGCCAGAGGAAACUCUGGUGGAGGCUCGCAGCGGUUCUGACGUGCAAAUCGAUCGUCAAAUAU